GAAGGUAUACCCACAUGGUAGAGUGCAUGCCUAGCAUGCACGAGGUCCUGGGUUCAAUCCCCAGUACCUCCA
rnacentral:tRNA from 1 species